rnacentral:rRNA from 1 species
UACGUAGGGUGCAAGCGUUGUCCGGAAUUAUUGGGCGUAAAGAGCUCGUAGGCGGUCUGUCGCGUCGGAUGUGAAAAUCCAGGGCUCAACCCUGGACCUGCAUUCGAUACGGGCAGACUAGAGUGCGGUAGGGGAGACUGGAAUUCCUGGUGUAGCGGUGAAAUGCGCAGAUAUCAGGAGGAACACCGGUGGCGAAGGCGGGUCUCUGGGCCGUAACUGACGCUGAGGAGCGAAAGCGUGGGGAGCGAACAGG